CAGCAGCCGCGGUAAUACGAAGGGUGCAAGCGUUACUCGGAAUUACUGGGCGUAAAGCGUGCGUAGGUGGUGGUUUAAGUCCGUUGUGAAAGCCCUGGGCUCAACCUGGGAAUUGCAGUGGAUACUGGGUCACUAGAGUGUGGUAGAGGAUAGUGGAAUUUCCGGUGUAGCAGUGGAAUGCGUAGAGAUCGGAAGGAACAUCUGUGGCGAAGGCGACUAUCUGGGCCAACACUGACACUGAGGCACGAAAGCGUGGGGAGCAAACAGGAUUAGAUACCCCCGUAGUCCCUGUCUCUUAUAC
rnacentral:rRNA from 1 species